UGUCAACUAUAUUGAGUAUGAGCAGGCCUAGUUCAAGUGAGAUGUAGGGAUGUCUUUGUGGCACACUCUGGAAACUGGGCCCCGCAAUGAAUUUCCAAAAAACAGGCUGGUCCACUCAUCGUGUGGGUGAAAUGUGUAUGAGAAGAAUGGGCAGUUGGGAAAGGAAAAGGCUACAUGUCCAUCGUACUCAUUUUGCUCAUUUGGUGAGCGGACUGACCCAUUGUUUGGAUCUGAUGCAUGUCCCAAAAAACCAGGCGGGUUUGCUCAUCAGGUGCGUGGUAUACGUAUGUAAGAAUGGAUGAUUAGUAAUUCAAUGCACACAUGUGCCCCACAUGAUGAGUGGUCUGUCGUGAUUUUUGCGCUAGGGCAUGCUCUUGGUCUGCCUUACUUAAGGAAUAUUACAGGUUUUGUACACAUCUGCCACAUAAGAAAGUCUUGAUCCUAUCUUCCUUUUUUUA